AUUGAACGCUGGCGGCAUGCCUUACACAUGCAAGUCGAACGGCAGCACGGGAGCAAUCCUGGUGGCGAGUGGCGAACGGGUGAGUAAUAUAUCGGAACGUGCCCAGUCGUGGGGAUAACGUAGCGAAAGCUACGCUAAUACCGCAUACGAUCUAUGGAUGAAAGCGGGGGAUCGCAAGACCUCGCGCGAUUGGAGCGGCCGAUAUCAGAUUAGGUAGUUGGUGAGGUAAAGGCUCACCAAGCCGACGAUCUGUAGCUGGUCUGAGAGGACGACCAGCCACACUGGGACUGAGACACGGCCCAGACUCCUACGGAGGCAGCAGUGGGAAUUUUGGACAAUGGGCGCAAGCCUGAUCCAGCAAUGCCGCGUGCAGGAUGAAGGCCUU
rnacentral:rRNA from 1 species